UAAAAAAAAAAAGCUCACAAACUGCAAUUUCGCUAAAAGAUUUGUUAAGACCUAUCCAAAAGUGAGGGACAAGUGUCUUGAAACCUCCUUCUUAAAAGAAGUCAAGUCGUAGGAAGAUGGAAAUACAGAAGCAGGCAGGGAGUUGCAGAGUUUACCAGAGAUAUGUAUGAAUGAUUGAGAAUACUAGUUAACUCUUGUGUUAUAGAGUUGGAAUCAUUUUUUUAGCUCUGGCGGGAGGGUACCCACCACCAAAAAUGGCUAGCAAUGGCCAUUCUUGAUUGUUUGAGUUAUAAGGAACCUUCUGGUACAGGUUUCGGUUUUGAGCUGACCUAGAAAAAAUUUUUUCAGGUCCUUAUUUAGGGUUCUGCAGCCAAGCCUAGCGUCAGGUACCGGGCAGACUUACAUUUCAGUGAUCCGCGGUAGCAUAGAGUAAUAUAGCAUCAGAGAAAAUUCUUUCAUUUUUCAGCUACCCUGACCAUGCUGGCUCUCGGACUACACAAUCUCUCAAUGGGGCACUUCCCAAAGAAAUUUAAAGCUUCAUAAAUAUCACUAAUACCUAAAUUCCUAAAAUACAGACAUACUCAAUUGCAGACCUAAUAUCACUACUGGAAGUCCGAGGAAAAUUUACGAAAAUAAACCCUCAACAAACGUAUAAAACACCACAUUGAAACCUAACAGUACACUGCCAGGCAUACAACAUGGUUUCAGAACAAAUAGCGGAAUAGAAAUUGCACUAGCCAUUACCCAAGGAAAAAUAGCAAAUGCCUUAACAAAUAAACACGUCAAUGGUACCUGGUACUAAGAGACAGUCAAAUUAUUCGAUAAUGUCUGGCACAACGGCCUGCGUAUUUAGCUCCUCAAUCUAAGACUGCCUGACAUCAUAAUCAAAUCAACAGGUUUCUUUCUUCAACCUUGGACCUGGGAAAAAAUAACUCAACAAAACAUGCACAGGAGUCCCUCAGGGCAGCUCUCUUUUACCUGCACUGUACUUUUAUCUACACGUCAGACAUGCACCAAGCUACAACUGGUCCAUUAAAUAUAAUGGAACAGAAAACAAAAGACAAGUUGGAGAGAGUACUGCAAGCCAGAAACUACAUCGAUACUACGCUGAUGAUACCACCCUUCACUUCUCCGUCUUUUCCAUCUUUCCCGUAGAAAGGUUAAGAAGUUUGGUUUCAAAGAUGAUUGAUGGGUAAUAAGAAGAAAAUGGCUGACAACUCUAAGGAUCACCAUUGUUCAUAAACACUUGAAUCACUUGAAACCCUUUUUUAUACUUACAUUUAAUAAUCUUACUUAUUAUAAGUGGUAAUUAACAUUAUGCAAGCAGCCCAUAGGAAGCAAAACUCGCUUGUUGGGCAAUGUAAUUAUGUUUAGCUAUUCUAGUCGUCAAUAGACAUACAUAUGCAAUAAUGGUUAUGUAAUACAUUUUACCUCUAUACAACCUCAUUUUGGAAACAUACGAAGACAAUGGCAUUUUUAUCAAUAUUGAGCAAAUAUACACUGUUUGUAAUGUAGGUAGUUGUUGGAUGUGAUUGGGCACAGAAUUCCCAAUUUUGGGACCAGAAUACGUUAAAGAGCGUUGGAAGAGUGACAGGCUAUGUUGUUGAACACGGAGGUACUCACGUGUGCGGGUGGGAUAAUUGUGUUGUGGUAGUGAAGCUGUUAUAUCACCUCUGUUGACUGAUUUGUACAUAGACUGUAUGUACCAAUUUGUAAUUUAUUUAUAUCAAAAAGUCUAAGGAUGUUCAUGCUCUUGAAUAAGGGUUGUGAGUGAUCAUAAUAACCAUGGUUUGAAAUAAUCCUAGUUAUCUUUUUCUGUAAAGAUAACAAGGAAAGUAAAUGUGUGGGAUAUGUGUUACACCAAAGUGGUGUGAAAUACUGAAAAUAUGGUAAUGCAUGGGCAUUGUACAUUAUUUGUAGGACAUUGUUUGGCAUGAAAUUUUUAACGUGGUACAGCAGUGAUAUAAUCCUUGAUAAUUUGUGACUUGUAUAUGAAAUGUGUGGUUUAAAUGUCAUGUCUUCAUCAAAUUUGAUACCUAACAUUUUAUGUUGCUCAGUUUUUGCAAUGACAGAAUUGUCAUUCUUUAGAGGCGGCAUUAUAUCUGUUGAUUUGUUAGUAAAUAACAUGUAAUACGUUUUACUUGAGUUAAUAGUUAGUCUAUUACUAACGCACCAGUUGUAUAAGAUUUCUAGAUCAGAAUUAACAGUUUCAAUCAUAGAUAUAGGUCUUCCCCAGUUAUGUAUAGGGUAGAAUCAUCAACAAGAAGUACUGACUUAAGUUGAGGAAAUAUCUGAGAAAUAUCAUUAAUUUAAGUCAAAAAUAGGAUAGAACCUAGUACACUGCCUUGUGGAACUCCAUAUUUUAUGUUUAGUGGUGAAGAUAUGUGACUCAGAAUCUUGGUAGAUUGUGUUUUGUUGGAGAGAUAAUGUUUAAACAAUCAUACAUUACACCUCAAAUACCAUAAUGUUUAAUUUUUGUAGUAAUGUAUCAUGUCUAACUGUGUCAAAAGCCUUACAGAAAUCAAUGAAAAAUUAAAAGUUAGGAAUGUUGUGAAUCUAAGGCGGAAUAGAUAUUUUCAGAAAGGAUUUUUAAUGCAUGGAAGGUACUCAAACUUUGUUGAAAACCAAAUUGUUCAGGCGUUAUAGUAGAUUUACUUUCAAGAAAGUUUAGUGAAUUUUUUUUUCAUUAAUUUCUCAUAGAUUUUAGGAAAGGUCUUAGGCAGUGAUAUGAGUCUGUAAUUACCAAGCUUAUCCUUUGAACCAUUUUUAUAUUGGGAUUACUGUGGCAUGUCUCAGAACCUGUGGAAAUAUACCCUGCUCGAUAAACUGAUUGAAUAUUAAAGAUCGUGGGAUAGCUAUAGGUUCACAAUUACCUUUAAUUAUAGAUACAGGAAUCUCAUUGGCAUUAGACGUUUUGUUUUUUAAGGUCUUUAUAACUGAUGUAACAUCACUAGGAAGAAAAGAAGGGACAGACAUAGAUGUAGGAUAGUCACCUCGCAGAAACGUAAUUGGAUCAGCAGUGGCCGGUGGUAUGUUGCCAUCAAGGUUGACAGCAAUAUUUGUGUAAUAUUCAUUUAAUGCAUUUGAUAUCUCAGAAGGAGUUCCAAGUAUUGUAUUAUUUAGGGAAAUAUAAUUCAGAUAUAUUUUAUUGUGGAUGUUUUUAAGUUGAUUAAUUUCAUUACAGAUUUUUUUGGAUCAUUUUUUUAAAUUUGUAAACAUGUUUAUGUAGUAAGACAUCUUUGCAUUACUAAUAAUCCUGUUUAGCAUAUUCCGGGAUAUUUUACAUUGAAUUUCGGUUAUAGUACUUACUUUAUAAUCUUUAUGUAGGUUGUUUUUACUCUUAAUCAACUUGAUUACAUUUGUUACUAUCCACGGGUUGUUCAGUCUUUUUCAGAAACGUAUGUAGUUUUCAACAGAAAACAUUCUAUGUACAAUCCCUGGAUUUUAUCAAUAAACUUACUUGAUGUUAA